UCUAGAUCAAAACAAGAGCCACUCGUGAAAACAGUUCAACGGCCCAGGAGCUGCCACUCUGUUUCCACCUGGGAUGCUCUCCCUAUCAGACCCAACCCCACGGACCGCGUGGAAUGGCUGGUGGCGCACGGCCCCCGGAGCACGUGCCUUCCCGCUCCCACGGCAACAUGCAGAUUUGGCCAGAAGAUCCUUUCUCACGAUCUCCGGGCCCUGACCAACCGGGACGGAGACUGUGCCAGCGGGCCGGCGCAGCCCUGGACAGUGGGUUAGAAUCCUGGCCCGGGAGGGUUCCAGGCCGUCACAGACCCUAAAGAUAGCAAUAAAGGGUCAGAGCCACGUCCCCGUGGACGGAGGCACAAAGAACACUGUCCCGGGCCUGUGCCCCAGGACUCCCACCCUUCGUCCUCAGAACCGGGGGCCCAGGCGUAGCCCGUCGUCAGCAGAGGGCAGGAGGAGGCCCCUCCUCCGCAGGACACAGCAAGGAGGCCGACUCAGGGAUCGAAAACAUCUCUGCCGCUCGCUACCCACAGGACCCGUGAAGAGGUCCUCGUUGUAAAGACACAAGUGCCACGGAACCGGGACGCCCGUGGCCAAGAGAACGGGAUCUGGCCGCACACAAAGCACCGGGGCUGACCCAGGCCUGGGGCACAAGUGCCGGAGUCUGAGCAGCAGAAAAGGUCCCAGCGGCCCCGCCACAAGGGGCCCCGCCCCGCGCCCCAAGGCCCGGACCCGGGGAGCCGUGCACACCGACCCCGGCCGCCACCACAGACGGGAGCACGGGCCUCCCGAGCAACGGAAACGUGUCUUUCGGCGGGCAGCCGUGCAGGCGGGCUCUGCUCCCAUCGCCGUCACGAGAGCCCAGGUGCACGAGAGCGGCCAAGAGGAGCGAGAGACGUGCGUGUCGGCUCCACGAGGGAGGACGUGAGCUGUUUGACACACAGCCUCCGAGUAAGACGGUUUGCAGAGAGGCCUCCUGGCCGCUCCCCGAGGGGCCCGACCCCGGCCCCCUUCCCCGCCCACGCCCUCUGAAACUGCAGCUCCCUGAACAAGCCCAGCUCUCCCUGCCUCGGGCAACGUCACUGGACUCAAGCCCUGCUCUCCCGACUCUACCCAGGACCAGCGGCUCCCCGGUCUCACACUGCAGUUCAGCGUCCCGUCCCCAGCCUCAUCCCUGGAGGCGACUGCUAUUUUCCUCCCGGGAUGGACACCACGGGCCACCGGCCUGCUCCCGCCGGCCUGCAGCUCCUCCAGACAAGGGGCGGGUCUGUUUCGCUCACCAGCAGGUGUCCAAGGGGAAGGAAGGAGAGAAUAUUCCUCCUCCUUGCCCCAGGCGUCAUCCUACUGGCUCAGAAUAAGGGGCGCAGGGCGCGAACAUCAGACAAACAACAAGGGAAAGAACUGCUCCCCCGUCCGCGUGGACCAUCACGCGCGGUUCUGAAACGCCCGUGGGACCGACCCCGGCCGCAACCCCACGUGUAGUUCACUGAACAUACCUGGGGUAAAAGCCCCGGCGAGUUUUCCGGAUUAGCAUCUGCCUUCCGAGGAGCCGGCAAGACGGGCGGAUCUGCCGGUCUCACCUUCCGCUCUUCCGCCGACCUGCCAUCCACGGCUAAACGAGAGAACAGGUUUUAUCCCAAACGUGCCGCACAGCCCCAAGGAGAGCCCGAGCGAGCGCGUGGAGGAGCACGUCUAGGCGGGCACUCCUCACCACGAGAGGACACCGUGAGACCUGGGGAAGGUCCUUUAAACCAACUCAAGAACGGCCAAGGGUAACCAACCCUUCCUCACAGCACUUGGCAGCUUCCGUCCUGCAGCCCAGCCCACACGGACCUCCCCUCAGCGGCUUCCCUUCCAGGAAGCGCAGAAGCUGGCCUAUGUGCAGCUGUCUCCAGCCACCUGCAGCAGCUCCUGAGCUUUCCUCCCCCACAGGGGUUCCCUACGCCCUCACCCAGACUGCCCGGGGCCGCUCGGAACACACGGUAACACGUGUGAGGAAGUUCAGGGAGCGUGUCUGGACGGGGCACGCGACCUCAGGACCCGAACGUCUCCCCCGUGAGGCACAGAGAACGGAGAGGCCGGCCCUUACACCGGACACCCAGGAAGCAGUCGGGCAACGUCACAUUAACUCGAGCCACGUUCUAGCAGGCUGGCUACAGACACUCUCCGCUCCUUUUCAUCUGCGCUUCUGGCCAAUUCGCAGACGCUCCAGGCGCUUAAAGCGCACGGCCAGACCGCUUUUGCCCAGCCACCCGCAGUCAGUGACGCACACGCAUGGGGUUGAGGCACACGCGCAGCCGGUACCUCUCCACUGGUCAGCCACGCUGAUGUAGGACAGGAGCCCGCAGAGCACGAGAAACGUGAGGAAGAAAAGGAUCACGUUGCGCUGUAAUCUCGACAGCUGCUUCCAUUUCUACGGGACGGAAAACAACACAGCUGGGACCCGUGCAACCGUUGCAAAUUCAGGGAGGACAGUGGGUAAGUCCCAAGGUCCGGUUUCUGAACCGGGGGAAGCGCCCCGGCGGCAGAGACUGACGAGCCGCGGGGAUAUUCCAGACGGUAUAGGGGAACGGAAAUAAACAACAGACGCAGAA